rnacentral:misc_RNA from 1 species
UUCAUGAUUUCAUUGAACCUGAACAGGCGACUCCGGAACCAUAACUAGCGGCUCCUGAACCAUGGCCACCCCUAAAAGUAGCCAUUACAUAAUACAUGCAACAAAUAGUUAAGUGCAAACAAUAUGCUUUGCAUUAAUGACACUAACCUGAAGUGAGAAGUCUGCAUCCUACUAAUGAGAAUUCAACCAAGCUUGCACAGUUCUGAGUAAGAACAACCAAAUCAUUAUCGGUCAUCUGAGGAGUUACCCUCUCAAGCCUCAAUUUCCUUAGAUUUGUGACAGAGUUUUUGAAGCUUGAUGUGGAUAUAUCACCAAGGCAGUAGCAUAGAGCCAGUGCCUGCAAGUGCCUCAAGGAUCUCAUAAUGUUUAUGAUGAUAGCAUUGGAGAUUACCUGUAAAGAACAAAUCAGUAAAAAAAAGGGCAAUCAAAUUAUUUAGAGCAUAGUUUAAUGAGUGAGAGGAAUAAGAUGAUAAUAGAUUAACCCAGGAUGGUAAAUUGAUAUCACCAGAAACAUUGCAGAGAAUAGAGAGAUGCCUCCCCGUGCUCAAUUAGUAUCCCUAAAAGGAUAUAUCGGCAUCUUAUACCAUGUAUCUUUAAAUGAUCUUCUCAAAUGCAUUAAAUUUUCUUUAAUUUCCUUUCAUUCCACAGUAAAUAAAAAAUACAUGAAAGGACAUAAAUUAGCAUCAAUAACCAAUACAGCUGAAAUGAUACCAAACUCACAUGAAAAUAACUUCCAAAAGAACAUCUACCCAACUCUAAAAGUUGUCCUAUUUCUUAGUCCAAAAAGAGAGAGGAGUUCAAUAAAACUAGCCUCAACUCAAGCAAUAAUUCAACUUGCAUGCUGAUUCAAUAAUCUAAGACCAAUCACUAGAUCACAUUUUCAUUUCCUGAUAGUGAACUUUAUGCAUCCAUAGGCAAGCAGAGAAACAACAGGAGUCACUCAGAAGUAUUUCAAUUGUCUUUUGGAGGGCCCUUUUACAAUUUAUACCUGAAAACAAAGAACUAUUGACUCCAGCAUGGGACAAGUUGUAGGAAGUAGUCUAAGGGCAUCUUCACCCAAUGAUCCACCCAAACCAACACUUAUUGCCCUUAAUGACAUAAUUGCAGGUCUAAGAGCUACUAAAGAAAACCAAGAAAAUCCCCAACCAAGUGCAAUCUCUUCCAGUUUACAUUUCUUGCCCAACACAGCAUAGAGAUCUCUACAUGAAUAUGAGGAAGAAAGUUCUACUCCACUGGCGUUACUUCCUUGAUGAAUCAGAUUUUUACAGCCUCUUGCAUUCAAACACUUCAAAGCAGGAUUUCCAUUGACAACGUGAGAUAAAGCAGCUCCAGAAACCAUUGUAUUACAAACAUCAAGUGUCUCCAAGGAAGAACCUGGGAAACUAUAAAGAGCAUCAUCAACAAGGUGAGUGUCCCUCAAGCAAAGGCUAAUCAGUGCUUGUGUUUGAGAUAUAAGGUCAAGUAGAGAUCUUUCAUUGACACCCUUGCAACCGCCCAUAUGAAGUGUUUGAAGUUUAAAUGCCAAUGAAUCUGAACAUCUCUUUUCAAAGUCAGAAGCAGCAGGACCAAAACUCGUAAUACUAGAGCAGAGAGCUUGAAUUGAAUUUAUCCCAAAAGACGUAUCACAAACUAAAAUUGAGUGUAGUUUACCACAUCUGCGUAUGAGAUUUGACAUGCCAGUAUCUGUUACUGAAAUACACCCUUUAAGAUUUAUGUACCGUAGAGAAACACAUAACCCUGUGAUAUACUGUAGAUCCAAAUCAGAAAUAUCACUUCUACCCUCUAAUAUGAGUCUUGUGAUAGUUGAAACAGAUGGCUGUGAAUGAUAAGAUGUCAUGUCCAAGAAAUUAUUGCCAGCACUGAAGGAAUUGCUUGAUACUAGUGGCAUUAUAGCACGACUAGAAGAUAUAACUGACACUUGUGCCGGUAUGAGCGGAGUAAUAUCAAUGGUUAAAUCGACUUCACUAAUGAGCGGACACUUCAGCAUUAAUUUAUGCAAAGUGGUUGUUUUAAAGUUCAAAAGAUGUGUUGCUCUUAAUUUUCUUAAAGAUGGAAAUGACUUGAAGAAGAUCUCAAUGGUGGAUUCAAGAUGUAACCUUGGACACUUUGAAAUAUCCACCUCCUCAACUGCUUCAAAAGAGAGAGUUGAUGGCAACCCAUGCAAGAUUCCACUUCCACAUUGAUCUCUGCUGGUGCUCAGACGUUCAAGGUUGAUCAAAGACUGUCUAAUGCUUUUCCUCAACAUGAGGUCCACACGAUAUGAAGAAGGAAGCAAAGAGAGGAGAAGAAUCACUGAUGUUAUUUGUGGACAACCUGAAAGGUUCACUUUCUUAGAAUAUUCUGUCACCCGUAUCCUUAGAUGAUCCAAGUCACCAUCUUCAAAGACACCAAUUGAGUCUGCAGGUGGAAUCUUCAGCAGUCUAAAUAUUGUAUCAAUGCUUUCCUCAGCAAGCUCUGUAAAAUAGCAUGAUCUUCUUUUUCCUGCAGCAAACCACAACGGCAAAAGACUAAUCCGGAUCUGUUUUAAAAUGCCAGUGCAGUCAUCUUCAACUUUGCCAAAAGGUUGCAACUUUUCUGUAUUUGCAUUGAGCCAAACCAAAAGGGCAUCAGAAAGAUGCAUCUCACUGUAUACUGUCAAAUCAGGAUGCUUUAUGCAACGAAAUAACAAAUUAUAAGGAACAUCUCCAAAAAAUUUACUAGAGAUGGCCCACAUAAAAUUUCUUGCUAGAUAGCUCGCACAUAAUUCUGGAACAAAAUCAUUUGCAUGCUCUAAACCAAAGUUCCAUAUAUGAAUUAGAUCAUCCAGUUGUAUUUCAUGCAGCCCAGGCCCCUUGGUUGAAGAUGCCUCAGACAACCAGAUUUUACACUUCAAUAGAAGUGAUUCUGCUCCAAAAUAAAGUGCAGCCUCAAAAAGAGAGAGGAAGGUUUUAGAUGUGACAUCCACUUUGCAGCCAUAAACACACUUUAAAACAUUUAUAAAUACUUCCAUGUUCCACUGGAUUGAAACACAACUCAAGUUUGAUUCACUAAAGCUUCCGCUGAAAAGGCCAUGGAAAAACGAAGAUUGCUCAGCAAGCCUGUGGCGAUGAGCUUUAAUUUUGACUGUUUGGCAACGGAGGAUCGCGGACAAAUCCCAAUUAUGGAUAUCCGUAGUCGAAAUUAAAGUUUCUGUGUGUUCGAUUGGAUAGGAGUUUGUGCAUAAGAGAGUGACGAAUUCAUCAUCUGACCCUGAUGCCAUGAGUAAGAAGCUAGAAUUGGCCGGCCGGACGCUGGAAGACGAAUACUGUCGAGGUGGAGGAGGCGAAGAUCCGUUUGGUUGGCCUGUAAAUGGGAAAAUGCAAGAAAGGAAACAACAGCAAAAGCUCUGAUGUCAAAACAUACCGCUUUGUUACUUUCCCGACAUCGCGCCCAUUUUUACUGUUCUUUCGCUUCCGCGGGACAAGUUUUUGAC